GGAAAACCUGCUUCAGCUGUGGGGCCACAGGAGGCAGGACUCAGGGAUGGUCUCCACCAUGGUCUGGUCCCCUCUCCUGCUCACCCUCUUGUCUCACUGCACAGGAUCCUGGGCCCAGUCUGUGGUGACUCAGCCACCCUCGAUGUCUGGGAACCCAGGACAGACCAUCACCAUCUCCUGCACUGGAAGCAGCUCCAACAUUGGGGGUAAUUCUGUGGACUGGUACCAACAGCUCCCAGGAAAGGCCCCCAAAGUCCUCAUCUAUGAUAAUAGCAAUCGAUACUCAGGGGUCCCUGACCGAUUCUCUGGCUCCAAGUCUGGCAGCUCAGCCACCCUGACCAUCACUGGCCUCCAGGCUGAGGAUGAGGCUGAUUAUUUCUGCGCAGCAUGGGACAGCAGUGUCAGUGGUCCCACAGUGCUGCAGGCCUGUGGGGAAGUGAGACAAGAACCCCUGUGGCAUCUGUGAGCUGGGUGAACACUGCAGCAGCUGCUGCUCAGGCUCAGCCUGUGCCCUGUGACUUCUCCUCAUUCUCUGGCUUCUGUCCUGACCCAGGUUCCCCCAGGAACACUCCCUGGGAUUGAAGGGUGCUCUGUCCUUUCUGUCCUCAGAGUCACUCACCACACCCCUUUCCCAGGCUAAAUGUCAUAAAU